UGCGGAGUAGAGUAAUUGGUCAACUCAUUAGGCUCAUGACCUGAAGAUUAUAGGUUCAAGUCCUAUCUCCGCAU
rnacentral:tRNA from 1 species